rnacentral:lncRNA from 1 species
AGGCCGCCAUCAGGGCUCGGGCGCAGCAGUGGGCGCGGGGCCAACCUCACAAGGCCUGGCCAGGCACAACCCCUGCUGCCGCGGCCCCGAAGCCCAGAGGUGCGCGCGUCGGAGCCUCGCUCUUACCAUGCUGCGCGAGGCGGCCUCCCUGUUUGAGUCUGGCGCCAACAACCGCGUGGGGUGGGAAGGACCGGAGGAAGUGCAGGGGAGAUGCAACGACCCCUGGCGGCCCUGAGUUCCAGUCUGUUCUGAAGUAGAAAACAUGACAUGAGCAUGACAGCUCAGAUAUGGCACAGGGAGACACUGUUUGAGAGGUGUUUUCUUGAAUUUGAGGACUGUGGUAACAAGUUUCUUUAAGAAGAAUAGACACACACACUUACCAUCAAGCUACCAGACACUGAACUCCCAGAGGACCGUUUGACCUAUUCUCUAGAUGGUUCUGUGGCUUGAAGUACAUAUCUGGCCAUUUGAUAUAAUACAGAAUAAUACAGAAUUCUUU